rnacentral:rRNA from 1 species
GACGUAGGAGGCGAGCGUUGUCCGAAUUCAUUGGGCGUAAAGAGCACGCAGGCGGUUUGGCAAGUCGGAUGUGAAAACCCGGAGCUCAACUCCGGACCUGCAUCCGAAACUGCCCGACUAGAGGUAGGUAGGGGAGAUCGGAAUUCCUGGUGUAGCGGUGAAAUGCGCAGAUAUCAGGAGGAACACCGGUGGCGAAGGCGGAUCUCUGGGCCUUACCUGACGCUCAGGUGCGAAAGCUAGGGGAGCGAACAGG